ensembl:miRNA cja-mir-487b cja-mir-487b
GGCUUUCCUUUCCGUGCUAACCUUUGGUACUUGGAGAGUGGUUAUCCCUGUCCUGUUCGUUUUGCUCAUGUCGAAUCGUACAGGGUCAUCCACUUUUUCAGUAUCAAGAGCGCAGACUCUGGAGCC